rnacentral:snRNA from 1 species
AGCUUUGCGCAGUGGCAGUAUCGUAGCCCAUGAAGUUUAUCUGAGGUGCGAUUAUUGCUAAUUGAAG